GACGAACGCUGGCGGCGUGCUUAACACAUGCAAGUCGAACGGAAAGGCCCUGCUUUUGUGGGGUGCUCGAGUGGCGAACGGGUGAGUAACACGUGAGUAACCUGCCCUUGACUUUGUGGUAACUUCAGGAAACUGGGGCUCAUAUCGCAUAUGAUCUCCUGCUGCAUGUUGGGGGUUGGAAAGUUUCGGCGGUUGUGGAUGGACUCGCGGCUUAUCAGCUUGUUGGUCGGGUAGUUGCUUACCAAGGCUUUGACGGGUAGCCGGCCUGAGAGGGUGAACGGCCACAUUGGGACUGAGAUACGGCCCAGAAGCCUACGGGAGGCAGCAGGGGGGAAUAUUGCAGAAUGGGCGGAAGCCUGAUGCAGCAACGCCGCGUGCGGGAUGACGGCCUUCGGGUGGUAAACCGCUGUCGACUGUGACGAAGCGUGAGUGACGGUAAUGGGUAAAGAAGCACCGGCUAACUACGUG
rnacentral:rRNA from 1 species